GACAAUACAAUGAUAGAUGAUUUAUAGCACACUUGUUGCAGUUCCACUUUAAGAUAAAUAUCAAAGUUGGAUAUCAUAUGUUCCGGUAGUUAUUAUCUUGAUUUGAAUUGUUUCAGUAAAAGAAUAAGGAACAAACAUCCAAUUAGGAUUAGCCAGGUUUAUAUAAUACAAGAAACAAUGAAACGAAAUAAGUACCUAAAUAAGUAAUAAGAAAUAAUUUUUUAUUAAGGAUACAAUUCGAAAUGAUGAUAGAUUAUAUACAUUGUACACUGUCAGUGUUGAUUUUGGUCGAUCCAUCGGAAUGUUUAUUGACACACAGAUAUAAACAUUAUACCAUGGGAAUUCGUAGCACAUAAUAUUUAGACUCAAGUCGGAAACAUUUUCCUGAAACGAUUAUUUUUCGUGUUAAACCUUGUGCUUCCAGAGAUAAUAACCAGGAUGUUUAUUUACAAGAUUCUUAUCAUUACUUCUAACCAACGGACACUAGGUUAUGUUCCCAAAAUGUAAACAAAAUAAGAAAAUCAACUGAAAUUUAGUUUGUAAAUUAGGGCGCCAAUAUAAAUUGAAUUGAUAAGUAAGUGCUAACUACAAUAAACGCACUGGAAAGUUAUUUCGGAUAAAAUACAUCGGUUUUAGCAGACAUUAUUUAUGCAGAAUUACAGGAAAUCGUUAUUUGUUCUGGUCGUUUCUGAGUAUGGAUAUUUUUCGGAAGAGUUCGCAUGCUAGUUCCCACAUACUGGAUUCAGAUUCAUUGGUAAUGGAGGCCUUGUGUACUAUGCAAUACAAAGAAAACUACAUUCAUGUGUCAACAUUUGCUGUUAUUAACAGGGAUAUACACACAUCAUUGUGGAUUAUAAAUGAAAGUUGGAUCUCUAAAAGCGACCACGUUACCUAACUGGAAUAGUGUUUUGAAGGAGAUGUAUUUUCGUAUUACUUUGAAUAUUACAAAUAUAUGGGCAUUUGUUUUCGUAAUGUGAAAUGAUAACGUUUCUCGAAAAUGUCAGGACAGAAACAUCCAAUAAUUACAUUCUAACCAUAUCACGUUGU
rnacentral:lncRNA from 1 species